GAUGAAGAACGUAGCGAAAUGCGAUAAGUAAUGUGAAUUGCAGAAUUCAGUGAAUCAUCGAAUCUUUGAACGCACCUUGCGCUCCUUGGUAUUCCGAGGAGCAUGCCUGUUUGAGUGUCAUUAAUAUAUCAACCUUCUCUUUUUUGAGUUGUUUGGAUGUGGGGGUUUGCUGGCCUCUUAAAUGAUUCAGCUCCCCUGAAAUGCAUUAGCAGAACAACCUGUUUAUUAGCGUGAUAAUUAUCUAUGCUAUUGAAUGUGAGGGCAGUUCAGCUUUCUAACCGUCCUUGGACAAUUCAUCAUUAAUGUGACCUCAAAUCAGGUAGGACUACCCGCUGAACUUAAUCAUAUCAAUAAGCGGAGGA
rnacentral:misc_RNA from 1 species